GAGGGGGGCUGCUCCUAGUACGAGAGGACCGGAGUGGACGCAUCACUGGUGUUCGGGUUGUCAUGCCAAUGGCACUGCCCGGUAGCUAAAUGCGGAAGAGAUAAGUGCUGAAAGCAUCUAAGCACGAAACUUGCCCCGAGAUGAGUUCUCCCUGACUCCUUGAGAGUCCUGAAGGAACGUUGAAGACGACGACGUUGAUAGGCCGGGUGUGUAAGCGCAGCGAUGCGUUGAGCUAACCGGUACUAAUGAACCGUGAGGCUUAACCUUACAACGCCGAAGGUGUUU
rnacentral:rRNA from 1 species